UGGGGAAUUUUGGACAAUGGGCGCAAGCCUGAUCCAGCCAUGCCGCGUGCGGGAAGAAGGCCUUCGGGUUGUAAACCGCUUUUGUCAGGGAAGAAAAUCUUCUGAGUUAAUACCUCGGGAGGAUGACGGUACCUGAAGAAUAAGCACCGGCUAACUACGUGCCAGCAGCCGCGGUAAUACGUAGGGUGCAAGCGUUAAUCGGAAUUACUGGGCGUAAACGUGCGCAGGCGGUUUUGUAAGACAGAGGUGAAAUCCCCGGGCUCAACCUGGGAACUGCCUUUGUGACUGCAAGGCUUGAGUGCGGCAGAGGGGGGAUGGAAUUCCGCGUGUAGCAGUGAAAUGCGUAGAUAUGCGGAGGAACACCGAUGGCGAAGGCAAUCCCCUGGGCCUGCACUGACGCUCAUGCACGAAAGCGUGGGGAGCAAACAGGAUUAGAUACCCUGGUAGUCCACGCCCUAAAA
rnacentral:rRNA from 1 species